GUGACAGUCAUAGAUUGCUGGAAACAGUUCAACAUUGCUGACUGCAUCAUCAUCAUUAAAGACUUACUUGGUGAAGUAAAGCAGUUAACUCUGACUGCCUGUUGGUCUAAGCUAAUAGAAGGAGUAUGUAAAUGAAUUUGCUCAGCAUAAACUUCCAGAGAUGAAGGAGAUAAUGAAUGUUGCAAAACAUCUGGGUGGUGACAGUUUUUCAGACAUAAAGGAUGACAAUGUAGAACAACUGUUGCAGUCAUACAAUGAGAAGUUGACUGAAAAGGAAUUGGAAGAAUUAAUCAGAUCUAGUGAGAGAGGGGAUGAUGACAAAGAGGACAAAAAUAAAAAGAGUAAAAUGAUUCCUUCCACUCUAAACAUUGGUUAUAUGAAUGAGAAUUGCUAAUGGCGAAUAAUCUUGCAGAAUUUUUCCUUGAAAUUAAUCCCAACAUGGAGCAGAGUUUAAAAUUAAAAUGAGGUUUGGAAGAUUUCUUAGCUUUACAUAAACAAUUACAAAAAGAG
rnacentral:lncRNA from 1 species